UACGUAGGUGGCAAGCGUUAUCCGGAUUUACUGGGCGUAAAGGGAACGCAGGCGGUCUUUUAAGUCUGAUGUGAAAGCCUUCGGCUUAACCGGAGUAGUGCAUUGGAAACUGGGAGACUUGAGUGCAGAAGAGGAGAGUGGAACUCCAUGUGUAGCGGUGAAAUGCGUAGAUAUAUGGAAGAACACCAGUGGCGAAAGCGGCUCUCUGGUCUGUAACUGACGCUGAGGUUCGAAAGCGUGGGUAGCAAACAGG
rnacentral:rRNA from 1 species